UAUUAGUGGGUAAUAUUGUUAUAGUGGGUUUAAUAAUGUGGUUAUAGUGGUAUUACAUUCGUUAUAGGUUGGUUAAUAAGGGUUAUAGUGGUAAUAAUUGUUACAGUGGUUAUAAGGGUUUAUAGUGGUAUAUUAAUGUUAUAGUGGUUUAUAAGGGUUAUAGUGGUAAUAAUUGUUAUAGUGGUUAAUAAGGGUUAUAGUGGAAUAAGGGGUAAUACCGGGUAAUGAGGGUUAUAAUGGUAAUGGGGGUUAUAAGGGUUAUUAUGGUUAUAUGUGUAAUGAGAAUCUAUAAAGGUAAUGAGGGGUUAUAAUGGUAAUAGUGGUUAUAAUGGUACCCAACCCUCUGAUAAGUGUAUCUACCCAAUUCUUCUAUGUCUAUAUCUACAGUCUCUUCUCUUCCCUCGCUGUCCAUCUCUUCUAUGUCUAUAUAUGUAAUUAUAUAUAUUAUAUAUAAUAUCAUAUUUAUAUUAUAUGUCUAUAUAUGUAAUUCUAUCACUGUUACCAUGGAGAUACUAUUAUAUGUUCUGAAUGUAAUUCUAUCACUGUUACCAUAGAGAUACUAUUAUAUGUUCUGAAUGUAAUUCUAUCACUGUUACCAUAGAGAUACUAUAUAUAUGUUCUGAAUGUAUUCUAUCACUGUUACCAUGGAGAUACUAUAUAUGUUCUGAAUGUAAUUCUAUCACUGUUACCAUGGAGAUACUAUUAAUGUUCUGAAUGUAAUUCUAUCACUGUUACCAUGGAGAUACUAUUAUAUGUUCUGAAUGUAAUUCUAUCACUGUUACCAUGAGGAUACUAUUAUAUGUUCUGAAUGUAAUUCUAUCACUGUAUGUCUCCAUUCUUCUUCCCUCUGAAGGAAUAAACAUCUAUAAUGAAUGAAGCCUGUGAGGGUCUGGUUGUUUUGUUCUCAUUCGUUUAAAUGUAACCAAGUGACUCCAAAAUGUUCCAAUUCAACAUUAAACAACGUAUUGAGCUAAAUAUAAAUAUUGAAAGCACUAUUUAGUGUCAGAUUCAUUCAAUUG
rnacentral:lncRNA from 1 species